CGGACGGGUGAGUAACGCGUAAAGAACUUGCCCUUUAGACUGGGAUAACAGAGGGAAACUUCUGAUAAUACUGGAUAAGUUAGUAUAUCGCAUGAUAUGCACAUGAAAGCUACUGCACUAAAGGAGAGCUUUGCGUCCUAUUAGCUAGUUGGUAAGGUAAGAGCUUACCAAGGCGAUGAUAGGUAGCCGGCCUGAGAGGGUGGACGGCCACAAGGGGACUGAGAUACGGCCCUUACUCCUACGGGAGGCAGCAGGC
rnacentral:rRNA from 1 species